CUGCCGGUAGGCCCUUCCUUUUGGGGUGCGAUCCGUCGUUGAGACCCCGUCGAGGUCCCUGGCAGACCGCCAUGCAUGCCCGCCUGCCGUGCGCCGUCCUCGCCGCCCGAGCCGUCCCCGCCUCACGGAUCCGCGCCCGCCUCAGGACGAUGCCCCGGUGGAUGUCGGCGUUCCCGCCGCGCCCGGUGCCGCAGCGUCGACUGCAGAUCGAGGAGGGCACCUACGGGUACGCAUCUCUCGAAACUCGCCCGAUUUCCCCAAUCCCGCGAGCACGCCGCCUGCGCAUUGGCCCAGCUGGGCGCCCCCACUGUGCCUUCUUUUUUUGUUAUUCAUGGCGAAGGAGACGGAGACGAAGUAAAUCGUUGCAGUCAAGAAGAUCCGCAUGGACAACGAGCGAGAGGGCGUAGUUCCCUAUCACGGCCAUUCGGGAGAUUAAAAUCCUCAAGAAGCUGCACCAGCAGAACGCUGUCAAUCUCAAAGAGAUCGUCACCUCGCCAGGGCCAGAGAGAAAUGAGCAGGGGAAGCAAAGUAUGAUUCUAAACAAAAACACCAUUGAAAGUUUUGCUUUAUUGCUAAUCCAGAUGUGCUAUAUGUUGUGAUGUUGGGUCGUCAAGGGCAACAAGUACAAGGGGAGCAUUUGCCUUUACUAAGUUUUAUUCUUUUGUUCGAUUUGUCUGUGCGGUAGUGUGCCACACCACAUCAUUCAACCAUUGAAAUGUAAUUCGGGAUGCAUCUUGUAUUCUUGUAGCAACAGGAGCUUCAGAUAUAGCCUGUGCUUCAAUCUGUUAAAAGCAAGGAAAAAGGCCUUUUGAAAAAUUUGAAUAUCUGUAAAAGAAUAUGAAAAGUGUUGGCUUUGGUGACUAAAUGGCUGCUUAUUUUUUGUUUAAAGGCAGAGUACUACUGUGAAUGUUUUUCCUGACUAAUAAAAUCUCCAUUUUGGUUAAUACUGAAUUUAUGUUCCAUUUAGAUGAAGAUUGCUUGGUUCAUAGCUUCGAGCAAGAGAGAGAUGUUGUCAGGAGGCAUACAUACACAGGAUUGCUUCGAACAGGUUUUUGAUGCUCCUAAACUUCUCUUUCAAAACACUUGUUGCAGAUAUUCUGUAAAGUCAAUCUUGACUUAGCUCUACUGUUCGGUAACACUGUUAUUUCCUCAGCUGAAUAUUCUUGAGUUAUUCUUGGACUGCAUUACAGAGACAAAUGAAAGGCUUAUCGAGUUCGGUAUUGGUGGAAUAUGUAACUCAUGUGUUGAUCCUGCAAAUGCUUUAGUCAUUGUUCAGUGCGGCGGAAUCCCAUUGGUUAUAUACAAUACUUAUCAACAACGGUGCGGAGCACUGAGUAUUUCUGAAGCUAACAAAACGAGGUGACUUAUGCACUUGGGUAUUAUCUAUGCAACCCUGCGACAAAGAAAGAGAUCCUGAAACCUGAUGUAGUUAGGAUUAUAAGAGAGUAUGCUGCAGCUGGAGCUGUUAACACCAGCUUCAGCAACAUGGCUAAUGCUUUCCUGGAGAAGCAUGUUGACCCAUGACCUUCGGGGUGCUAUGCAAAGGUGCCAUAAUGUCAUGUACACAGAAAAUAGCAUUAUGAAAGAGGGAGUAAAAUGGAAGGUGGCUUCAAACCAGAAUCGAAAGUCUGCUGUGCAUCCAAAUAUGAUGCUUAAUCAAGCAGCUAGCUUAUUCCUUGAUGAGAGAACGACGCCCACAAGGCCUGGCUGAACAACGAAUUCCUGCUCUUCAGCAAGAACAUUUCCCUGGUUUUCAAUACUUAUAGUUCAGUUAUCUGUCCAAGUAAUUUGGUGACACCAACCAUCUUCUGUUCUUGAAUUGCAUUAUCUGUCCAAGUAAUUUGGUGACACCAACCAUCUUCUGUUCUUGAAUUGCCAGCCUUACACCUGCGCUGGCAGUGCUAGCGAAUGAAUACUCAUGAAGUCAAUGUAACUGUCAUGAAUUAUUCUUCCUUUUCGGUGUCUGACAGAACCUGUAAUUUAAAGACUGCGAUGUAGCGAGUUCAUUUUUCGUUUUCCA